rnacentral:rRNA from 1 species
GGAAUAACGCAUCGAAAGAUGUGCUAAUACCGCAUAUCUCUGAGGAGAAAAGCAGGGAUCGCAAGACCUUGCGCUAAAGGAGCGGCCGAUGUCUGAUUAGCUAGUUGGUGGGGUAAAGGCUUACCAAGGCAACGAUCAGUAGUUGGUCUGAGAGGACGGCCAACCACACUGGGACUGAGACACGGCCCAGACUCCUACGGGAGGCAGCAGUGGGGAAUUUUGGACAAUGGGCGAAAGCCUGAUCCAGCCAUGCCGCGUGAGUGAAGAAGGCCUUCGGGUUGUAAAGCUCUUUUAGUCGGAAAGAAAGAGUUGCAAUGAAUAAUUGUGAUUUAUGACGGUACCGACAGAAAAAGCACCGGCUAACUACGUGCCAGCAGCCGCGGUAAUACGUAGGGUGCGAGCGUUAAUCGGAAUUACUGGGCGUAAAGGGUGCGCAGGCGGUCUUGCAAGUCAGAUGUGAAAGCCCCGGGCUUAACCUGGGAAUCGCGUUUGAAACUACAAGGCUAGAGUGCAGCAGAGGGGAGUGGAAUUCCAUGUGUAGCAGUGAAAUGCGUA